UAGGGAAUCUUCCGCAAUGGGCGAAAGCCUGACGGAGCAACGCCGCGUGAGUGAUGAAGGUCUUCAGAUCGUAAAACUCUGUUAUUAGGGAAGAACAUACGUGUAAGUAACUAUGCACGUCUUGACGGUACCUAAUCAGAAAGCCACGGCUAACUACGUGCCAGCAGCCGCGGUAAUACGUAGGUGGCAAGCGUUAUCCGGAAUUAUUGGGCGUAAAGCGCGCGUAGGCGGUUUUUUAAGUCUGAUGUGAAAGCCCACGGCUCAACCGUGGAGGGUCAUUGGAAACUGGAAAACUUGAGUGCAGAAGAGGAAAGUGGAAUUCCAUGUGUAGCGGUGAAAUGCGCAGAGAUAUGGAGGAACACCAGUGGCGAAGGCGACUUUCUGGUCUGUAACUGACGCUGAUGUGCGAAAGCGUGGGGAUCAAACA
rnacentral:rRNA from 1 species